CACCCUUUUUUCUGUUUUUUUUUUCCGGGGUAUGACUGCAGUGGCGCGUAUAAAGCGGCAACAGCUGCGAACCAUCAUCACGACAUAUGCGUGCACAACGGGCGGGAUGCCGCGCCUCCGCAUUCUUGACAAAGCUUCCUAAAGUCGUGUUGUUUGCGACGGACGAGUCACGAAUUAAGGCAGGCGAUGCGAGGAGUCAAAGAUGAAGUCUUUCAUGGCAUUGCGAACUUCCGGUGGCUGAAGCCCAACGUCGAAGUUCCAAAGGAAAGUCAGGACGGGAACGUGCAAACCUUCUUAAAAAACAGGAAGCACGUGGUGUGCGCCGCCCCGACGUCCUCGGAAAAAAUGUAAGCGGCAAUAACAAGGGGUACACGCAGGAACCACCUGAGCCCCACGACAACUUCCUGUGCGGCAUGUCACCAACUUUUGGGGACAGAGAGAGGCAUAACUGGUGUGAUGCGAAGACGUCUCAGAGGAUCAAAGGGCAUGUCCUGAGCCGGAAGACGACUUUGGUGGUCGUCUCUUUGCAAAAGCCGCAGUGACCUCCUUGCGACCCGCCUCUGUCACAGAAACGCACGGCGGUGCAUGUAGCCCAGAUGGGAUGAGCCCACUUGCAUGAUGUACUUUGGAAAACAGGAUGAAGGGAUGGCAUUACCAAACUGUCCACGUUUGAAGUGUGCCGUCUGCCAAGAGACAAGCUUGACAUGUGUCACAACAAAAAGUACGUAACUACGAAUGAUUGGUGAGAGCAUACUGUCGGCAAGAGUAAUAAAAACAGAAACAAAAAAAAUGUGAGUGACGGUUGCCUGCCGUCGGAAAAGAUGCGAAGAGAGAGAUAUAUGCAAAAUAAUAACAAGGUUGUGACGGCAAACUCCGUGUUAUAACUAGUCGCACACGGACUUCUAAGCGCAUGUUAUAAGCUUAAUGUUUCGUUAAAGACGUUAGCGUAA